rnacentral:rRNA from 1 species
AUUGAACGCUGGCGGCAGGCCUAACACAUGCAAGUCGAACGGUAACAGGAAGAAGCUUGCUUCUUUGCUGACGAGUGGCGGACGGGUGAGUAAUGUCUGGGAAACUGCCUGAUGGAGGGGGAUAACUACUGGAAACGGUAGCUAAUACCGCAUAACGUCGCAAGACCAAAAAGGGGGACCUUCGGGCCUCUUGCCAUCGGAUGUGCCCAGAUGGGAUUAGCUAGUAGGUGGGGUAACGGCUCACCUAGGCGACGAUCCCUAGCUGGUCUGAGAGGAUGACCAGCCACACUGGAACUGAGACGCGGUCCAGACUCCUACGGUAGGCAGCAGUGGGGAAUAUUGCACAAUGGGCGCAAGCCUGAUGCAGCCAUGCCGCGUGUAUGAAGAAGGCCUUCGGGUUGUAAAGUACUUUCAGCGGGGAGGAAGGGAGUAAAGUUAAUACCUUUGCUCAUUGACGUUACCCGCAGAAGAAGCACCGGCUAACUCCGUG